rnacentral:tRNA from 1 species
AAAGCUUUAAGUUAAAUUUAAACUAUUAACCUUCAAAGUUAAAAAUAAUAUCAAAUAAUUAAGCUUUA